AUGAUAGUAGAAGGGAGAGACUGUCUUUCGGACAGCGCCGAAGGAGCAAGCCGGCAGCGGUGAAUCUCUCAGGCAAAAGUACCUCUACUUGACG
rnacentral:ncRNA from 2 species